UUCAGGCUGUUGUUGGUGUGUUCUAGGCACAGUAAACAGUCGUUAGAUGUCUGGAAUAUUAUGAGGCUGCCAUUCAGGCGGGUUGAAAAGUCGUUUUAGAUGUCGGGGAUAUUAUGAGGCAGUCAUUCAGGGGGGCUGAAAACUCGUUUUUGACCCUGGUUUUCUCUUUUCUCCGAUAAGAUGAAGUUGCUAUUGUUGAUAUUCACUGUUUCCCAACAUCAAAAUCAACAGCAGUGAAAGAGAAAGAGAGAAACUUGGCAUGUCACUGAUUUUGGGGCAUUUGGAUUUUCAAUCAGUAUCGAGAUUGUCUGAGCUACUUCGUGCAUGUAAUUUCGCUGACAAAGUCUUCAAUAUCAGUGAGGUUGAUUCAUCUUGAACCAAUUAUACAAUAUGGAAACUGAACCAAAAUAACAAAUGAAAUGAAGCAGUCAACUGGAAUAUUUUGUAUGACUACAACAUCUAACGCAGCUGCAAAUGAAGCAAUCAGCUAGAGGAUUUUGUACAACUACAAUUGGAGCGAUUACUUUUUUGAACAAGCUCCAGCAACAGCUUUUGCUAGAUUAACUUAUAGCCCUUUUUUAGAACUAGGAUUUAUGCACCAGCUCCAGUUGAGUAAGCUUCAACUAAAAUACUGUAUAAAACCUCUUUUACUAUUUCCAUAGUAUGUAGCAAUUUCUUUUUUGUAUUUCUUGAGUUUUGUAUUUCUUAAUGUUGUCCUUAUGACAAAGGACAGUUGCUUAGUCAAUGCAUGCAUUCAUGUUUAAAAUGCAUGAGUUUAUGAUUUGGAACAAGUCCAUAUUUAAUGCUUGAGAUUGUACUUGAUAUGAUUUCGACUCUUGGUAUGGAAAAGUUUAAACAUUUUGGAAUUCCA